UACAGGGUGCGAGCGUUAAUCGGAUUUACUGGGCGUAAAGCGUGCGCAGGCGGCCCGUUAAGACAGGUGUGAAAUCCCUGGGCUCAACCUAGGAAUUGCGCUUGUGACUGGCGGGCUCGAGUACGGUAGAGGGGGGUGGAAUUCCUGGUGUAGCAGUGAAAUGCGUAGAGAUCAGGAGGAACACCGAUGGCGAAGGCAGCCCCCUGGGCCUGUACUGACGCUCAUGCACGAAAGCGUGGGGAGCAAACAGG
rnacentral:rRNA from 1 species